rnacentral:rRNA from 1 species
UUUAUUCGAGAGUUUGAUCCUGGCUCAGGAUGAACGCUGGCGGCGUGCUUAACACAUGCAAGUCGAACGGGGUUAUGAUGUGUGAAGAAGAUAGCUUGCUAUUGACCGAACUUUUCAUAACCUAGUGGCGGACGGGUGAGUAACGCGUGGGUAACCUGCCUUGCACUGGGGGAUAACACUUAGAAAUAGGUGCUAAUACCGCAUAAGCGCACAUCUUCGCAUGAAGAAGUGUGAAAAACUCCGGUGGUGCAAGAUGGACCCGCGUCUGAUUAGCUAGUUGGCGGGGUAACGGCCCACCAAGGCGACGAUCAGUAGCCGGCCUGAGAGGGUGGACGGCCACAUUGGGACUGAGACACGGCCCAAACUCCUACGGGAGGCAGCAGUGGGGGAUAUUGGACAAUGGGGGGAACCC